rnacentral:tRNA from 1 species
UCCCUCAUAGCUCAGUUGGUAAAGAAUCUGCCUGCAAUGCAGGAGACCCAGGUUUGAUUCCUGGGUUGGGAA